AUUUUAUUUACAUUGCUAUUCAAAAUUUUAAAAAAUUAAAUAAACAAAUUAUUUUUUUGUUGUUAUCCUAGACAUAUUUGUUGAUAGACGGAAAACAUUUUCGUGUUUUGGCUGUUCAUAAUUUUGAAAGUGUACUCGUUCGCAGAGGUUUUAUAAAAAAACGGUGGAGAAAUUCAGACAAAGCAAAUAAAUAUGGCUGAUUCAAACACACUGUCGGGGACAGCUGCUACUACUGUGGCAAAUGAAAGAAAAAUCAUCCUGAUUAUUAUUUGGACAGUUUACGAUUGAAAGAUUUGAGAACGCAAACUGGUGGAAAGAAAGGUGCUGUUGUUUAAGCAGAAAAAUGCAAGACAACCAGACCUUAUAAGAAGAAAGAAUUAUAAAAAAAAACCGAACUCCAUAUUUGGUGAUGAAGCACAAAAGUUCAAAUCAUGCACAACAUACAGCCAUGCUUUUAAAUUUUGUUUACGUCAUAUAAUCAGAAACGUUCACAUAAACACAUGUUUUUCUGUUGUUUGUGUAAAACUAAUAACUGUCAUCAAAAAAAAAUUUUCAGGACCCUUUACAUCCCUGCCUUCCCUAUACAUACAGUGGGGAAUGUGGGGGAAGCUCUCUAGAGAAGCACCCGUCGGUAUAAUUUAUGGAAACUCUUUUGUUACUACUAUCCUUGGUUAGAUAUUCGUGCAUCCUUGUACGCCAAUUUGCAUGAAGCAAUUGACUUACACUGCGGAAGAUCGAAAAAAACUGUGCGUGAAACCUUCAACGCACGACGGAUACCAUUAUUUUCAUAGUGAUGCUUAAAAUUAUAGACGUGCCUGUGCCUGAUGUGCUUGAUGAAAAAAAAUCUUGUUAAAGUUUUAGAUUGUAGUUAUUGCAGCUGUAGUUCCAUCCCCGUCCCCAGGGUCUUGUGGCCCCUGAGCCGUUAUUACGGAAAGGCAAAAUGCCCUUGGAACGAGGUUGCUGUAGUUCAGAUAUUUUUGAUACAGUACACCUCAAUUUUUUUAAAAAGAAGAUUAUCGUCCAAGCUCAAAUGUCCUAAAUUUUAACCAUGGGUUGUCUUUUUUAGGAUCAUACCGAAAGUGAUAAAACUUGGCAGUAUUGUACUAUGAUAUGAACACGAAUGUAAAAUUCCACACGCCAGUGAAAAGUGCGACUGUUUUCAUGAUGUUUCACUUCGGGUUUAAACUUCACAGGAGGGACCCUUUAGAGCUGAUCCUUUUGUGUCCGUGACUUUCAAACAUGUGCACUUACCAAAAAGCGCAACUUACAUGGGUUUAAAAUCAACCUUAUUCCCAGGGUUUUUUUUAUUUCGGUUAAAACUGCUAAACCUAAGUAAGUGUUUACGCCUGCGUGAAAAGAAUAUGUGUAAACGAACCUAAAAUUUUGCUUUAGAUUCUUGAAUUCUCUUUAUACAUAAUUUUACUGUGUAAACGCAAAAUUAUUUCAUUUUGGCACGAUAUAACUAUGCAAAAAUACAACAAAGGUAAAUUUUUAUUUUCAUAAUAAAGAAAAAAAAAUCACAAGCUAUACUAAAAAGAAAGUGAAAAAUAGCAAAUUCUGUUAAAUGAUUUCUCGCCAGCGUGAAAUAAACAUUAUUUAACGCCGACAGGGCGGUCUUUCCGUAAACAGUCGCUCC